GUAGGCUAUGGUGAUAUCUACCCAAAAACUCUGCUGGGAAAGAUAGUGGGGGGGUUAUGCUGCAUAGCUGGAGUACUGGUGAUUGCCCUACCUAUUCCCAUUAUUGUAAAUAAC
rfam:Larimichthys crocea isolate SSNF unplaced genomic scaffold scaffold440, whole genome shotgun sequence.